rnacentral:rRNA from 1 species
AAAUUGAAGAGUUUGAUCAUGGCUCAGAUUGAACGCUGGCGGCAGGCCUAACACAUGCAAGUCGAGCGGUAGCACAGAGAGCUUGCUCUCGGGUGACGAGCGGCGGACGGGUGAGUAAUGUCUGGGAAACUGCCUGAUGGAGGGGGAUAACUACUGGAAACGGUAGCUAAUACCGCAUAAUGUCGCAAGACCAAAGUGGGGGACCUUCGGGCCUCAUGCCAUCAGAUGUGCCCAGAUGGGAUUAGCUAGUAGGUGGGGUAAUGGCUCACCUAGGCGACGAUCCCUAGCUGGUCUGAGAGGAUGACCAGCCACACUGGAACUGAGACACGGUCCAGACUCCUACGGGAGGCAGCAGUGGGGAAUAUUGCACAAUGGGCGCAAGCCUGAUGCAGCCAUGCCGCGUGUGUGAAGAAGGCCUUCGGGUUGUAAAGCACUUUCAGCGGGGAGGAAGGCGAUAAGGUUAAUAACCUUAUCGAUUGACGUUACCCGCAGAAGAAGCACCGGCUAACUCCGUGCCAGCAGCCGCGGUAAUACGGAGGGUGCAAGCGUUAAUCGGAAUUACUGGGCGUAAAGCGCACGCAGGCGGUCUGUCAAGUCGGAUGUGAAAUCCCCGGGCUCAACCUGGGAACUGCAUUCGAAACUGGCAGGCUAGAGUCUUGUAGAGGGGGGUAGAAUUCCAGGUGUAGCGGUGAAAUGCGUAGAGAUCUGGAGGAAUACCGGUGGCGAAGGCGGCCCCCUGGACAAAGACUGACGCUCAGGUGCGAAAGCGUGGGGAGCAAACAGGAUUAGAUACCCUGGUAGUCCACGCCGUAAACGAUGUCGAUUUGGAGGUUGUGCCCUUGAGGCGUGGCUUCCGGAGCUAACGCGUUAAAUCGACCGCCUGGGGAGUACGGCCGCAAGGUUAAAACUCAAAUGAAUUGACGGGGGCCCGCACAAGCGGUGGAGCAUGUGGUUUAAUUCGAUGCAACGCGAAGAACCUUACCUGGUCUUGACAUCCACAGAACUUAGCAGAGAUGCUUUGGUGCCUUCGGGAACUGUGAGACAGGUGCUGCAUGGCUGUCGUCAGCUCGUGUUGUGAAAUGUUGGGUUAAGUCCCGCAACGAGCGCAACCCUUAUCCUUUGUUGCCAGCGGUUAGGCCGGGAACUCAAAGGAGACUGCCAGUGAUAAACUGGAGGAAGGUGGGGAUGACGUCAAGUCAUCAUGGCCCUUACGACCAGGGCUACACACGUGCUACAAUGGCAUAUACAAAGAGAAGCGACCUCGCGAGAGCAAGCGGACCUCAUAAAGUAUGUCGUAGUCCGGAUUGGAGUCUGCAACUCGACUCCAUGAAGUCGGAAUCGCUAGUAAUCGUAGAUCAGAAUGCUACGGUGAAUACGUUCCCGGGCCUUGUACACACCGCCCGUCACACCAUGGGAGUGGGUUGCAAAAGAAGUAGGUAGCUUAACCUUCGGGAGGGCGCUUACCACUUUGUGAUUCAUGACUGGGGUGAAGUCGUAACAAGGUAACCGUAGGGGAACCUGCGGUUGGAUCACCUCCUUA